UGUGAUACUCAGAAUGCAUUAAAGCGUGCUC
rnacentral:piRNA from 1 species